AUUGAACGCUGGCGGCAGGCCUAACACAUGCAAGUCGAACGGUAACAGAGAGUAGCUUGCUACUUUGCUGACGAGUGGCGGACGGGUGAGUAAUGUCUGGGGAUCUGCCUGAUGGAGGGGGAUAACUACUGGAAACGGUAGCUAAUACCGCAUAAUGUCGCAAGACCAAAGCGGGGGACUUUCGGGCCUCGCACCAUCAGAUGAACCCAGAUGGGAUUAGCUAGUAGGUAGGGUAAUGGCUUACCUAGGCGACGAUCCCUAGCUGGUCUGAGAGGAUGACCAGCCACACUGGAACUGAGACACGGUCCAGACUCCUACGGGAGGCAGCAGUGGGGAAUAUUGCACAAUGGGCGCAAGCCUGAUGCAGCCAUGCCGCGUGUAUGAAGAAGGCCUUCGGGUUGUAAAGUACUUUCAGUCAGGAGGAAGGGUGUGAAAUUAAUACUUUCAUGCAUUGACGUUACUGACAGAAGAAGCACCGGCUAACUCCGUGCCAGCCGCCGCAGUAA
rnacentral:rRNA from 1 species